UACAGAGGGGGCAAGCGUUGUUCGGAAUUACUGGGCGUAAAGGGCGCGUAGGCGGCCUGUUAAGUCAGACGUGAAAUCCCUCGGCUCAACCGGGGAACUGCGUCUGAUACUGGCAGGCUUGAAUUCGGGAGAGGGAUGUGGAAUUCCAGGUGUAGCGGUGAAAUGCGUAGAUAUCUGGAGGAACACCGGUGGCGAAGGCGGCAUCCUGGACCGACAUUGACGCUGAGGCGCGAAAGCCAGGGGAGCAAACGGG
rnacentral:rRNA from 1 species